rnacentral:rRNA from 1 species
AUACGUAGGGGGCGAGCGUUGUCCGGAAUGAUUGGGCGUAAACGGCGCGUAGGCGGCCGCUUAAGUCUGGAGUGAAAGUCCUGUUUUCAAGAUGGGAAUUGCUUUGGCUACUGGGGGGCUUGAGUGCAGGAGAGGUUAUCGGAAUUACAGGGGUAGCGGUGAAAUGCGUAGAGAUCGGGAGGAACCCCAGUGGCGAAGGCGGGUAACUGGACUGCAACUGACGCUGAGGCGCGAAAGUGUGGGGAGCAAUCAGGAUUAGAUACCCUGGUAGUCCACACUGUAAACGAUGAAUGCUAGGUGUAAGAGGUAUCGACCCCUUUUGUGCCGGAGUCAACACAAUAAGCAUUCCGCCUGGGGAGUACGGCCGCAAGGUUGAAGCUUAAAGGAAUUGACGGGG